rnacentral:rRNA from 1 species
UACGUAGGUGGCAAGCGUUGUCCGGGUUUACUGGGUGUAAAGGGCGUGUAGCCGGGCUGACAAGUCAGAUGUGAAAUUCCGGGGCUCAACCCCGGACCUGCAUUUGAAACUGUUGGUCUUGAGUAUCGGAGAGGCAGGCGGAAUUCCUAGUGUAGCGGUGAAAUGCGUAGAUAUUAGGAGGAACACCAGUGGCGAAGGCGGCCUGCUGGACGACAACUGACGGUGAGGCGCGAAAGCGUGGGGAGCAAACAGG